rnacentral:lncRNA from 1 species
UGAGAGUCAGUAUAAGAGAGAUUUGAAGAUGCUACACUGCUGGCUUUGAAGAUUGUUUAAGGAUCAUGAGUCAAGGAAUUCAGGAAGCCCCUAGAGGCUGGAAAAGGCACGGAAACAGAUUAUUCUUUAGAGCCUCUACAGGGAUGCAGUCCUGCCAGCCCAUUUUGGACUUCUGAACUUAGAACUGUAAGAUAAUAGAUUGGUGUUGUUUUAAGCCACAGACUUCGUAUAAUUUGUUACUGCAGCAAUAGGAAACUAACAUGGAGUGUGAAACCUUAACAUUGGAUUUAGACGUGGCUGGAUAGAAAAGAUCAAAGCACUGCAGAAGAUUAUCUAAUUGCCUAAUACAGGUUGUAAAAAACAUUUUAAAAUGUUGCAAGUCAAAAAAUCAAGUCUUAAAAGUUUGACCCGAAUUAUUUUCCUAAGAUUUCAGACAAAGAUGUCUAGGCCUCUGUGGCCCAUUAUGGCUCUGGGAGUAGAAAGUCCUCUGGUAAGGCAUGUAGCUAGUGGUUAAAAAUGAAGACUAAAGCCAGACUGCCUGAGUUUGAAUCCCAGUCCCACCCUUGACUAACUGUGUGACUUGUGCCUCAGUCUCCUGAUCUGUACACUGGAGGUAAUAAUAUCCCCUUCAAAGGGAUGUUUUAAAGAUUAAAGAUGAAAUAUAUAGAACAAUGCCUCAAGUUUUUAGAAAAAUGCUUCUCACCUCAUAAAUAUUUGUUGCUGUUGUUACUAUUAUUGUUUUUAAUGACUGACAAGAGUGUCUUAUGCAGAAUAAAUAUCUCUUUGGGGACAAUGAAACAAUUGAAAGAAUGGACAACUGAAUUAUUGUAACAGAGCAGUGACCUAGGCGAGACCAAGUAUUAGGUUUACAAAUCAGCCAGCUAUCCGAUGCUUAGCACGUCCUUGUCAAAGACCUUUGGAAACUACAGGGUUUUUACUCUUAUGUUGGUCCCCAUGAAGUCAGGGUCUGUGAAGGGUCUGGGAUUUUACCCUACUUGCAAGCUAACGUGUUAGCCUAUUACAGAAGACUGGAGACAACUACAUCAGAGUCAGAGGACUUUAUUACUCACAGCACAGCAAACAGCAUGAGCGUGGUGGUGUUAAUUCCCCAUGUCCUCCAAAACUCACCGAGGUGACAAAGAUGGGCACGGGCGAAAUGAGUGCUAUGCACUCAGUGGAUUUGUGUCACAGUUGAGCAGCGUUGAGCUUAGGGAGCCUACUGCUUUUACAGUGGGCCAUGAGCAAGGGGUGGGUUGUGGCAGGGGGAGAGGGUGGGAGCUACUCUCCUCGUAGUUGUUGUGUCCUGGUUGACCCACCCCAAAAUGGAGAUGUCAGACCUGGGAGUUACAAGCCUCCAUGGGUUCAUUUUUAACAAGAGCUCAGCAGCAGACCAACGAUUGCGUCCCCUUUUUGAAAGGGGUGUGUUAUGGGUUGAAAUGUGUCUCCUGUCUCCAAAUUCAUAUGUUGAAGCCUUAACCUAUAGUACUUCAGAAUGUGAUCUUGUUUGGAGAUAGGGUCUUUACAGAGGUAAUCAAGUUAAAAUGAGGUCGUUAGAAUGGGCCCCAAUUCAGUGUGACUGAUGGCUUUAUGAGAAGAAGAAAUUUGGAUACAAGACCAUACAAUUCAUACUGGACUAUGCAUACCGGGACCAUACAAUGUGAAUAUGAAGACAGCUGUUUACAAGCCAAGGAAGGGGCCUGGAACAGAUGCUUCUCUCACAGCCUUAGUAAGGAACAAACCUUGCAGACACCUUGAUUUUAGAUUUCUCCCCUUCA